rnacentral:rRNA from 1 species
UACGGGGGGGGCAAGCGUUGUUCGGAAUUACUGGGCGUAAAGGGCUCGUAGGCGGCCAACUAAGUCGGAUGUGAAAUCCCCAGGCUUAACCUGGGAAUUGCAUCCGAUACUGGAUGGCUUGAAUCCGGGAGAGGGAUGCGGAAUUCCAGGUGUAGCGGUGAAAUGCGUAGAUAUCGUGAGGAAGGCCAGUGGCGAAAGCGAAUCUCUGGACAGCUCUUGACGCUGAUGCACGAAGGCCAGGGGAGCAAACGGG